rnacentral:rRNA from 1 species
AGCCAGACUCCUACGGGAGGCAGCAGUGAGGAAUAUUGGUCAAUGGGCGGGAGCCUGAACCAGCCAUGCCGCGUGAAGGCGAGUGCCCUACGGGCGUUAAACUUCUUUUGUGCGGGAGCAAUAAGGGCCACGCGUGGCCCGAUGAGAGUACCGCACGAAUAAGCAUCGGCUAACUCCGUGCCAGCAGCCGCGGUAAUACGGAGGAUCCGAGCGUUAUCCGGAUUUAUUGGGUUUAAAGGGUGCGUAGGCGGUUUGAUAAGUUAGAGGUGAAAUGUCGGGGCUCAACCCCGAAACUGCCUCUAAUACUGUUGGACUAGAGAAUAGUUGCGGUAGGCGGAAUGUAUGGUGUAGCGGUGAAAUGCUUAGAGAUCAUACAGAACACCGAUUGCGAAGGCAGCAUGCCGGCUCCACACUGACGCUGAGGCACGAAAGCGUGGGUAUCGAACAGGAUUAGAUACCCGCGUAAG